GCCGGAAUGGCGGAAUGGUAGACGCGACGGAUUCAAAAUCCGUUGGCCGCAAGGUCGUCCGGGUUCAAGUCCCGGUUCCGGUACCA
rnacentral:tRNA from 2 species